UACGAAGGGGGCUAGCGUUGUUCGGAGUUACUGGGCGUAAAGCGCAUGUAGGUGGCCUGCUAAGUUACAUCUGAAAGGUGACAGCUCAACUGUCGAUUGCGGUGUAAGACUGGCAAGCUUGAGGCAAGCAGAAGAAUGUGGAACUCCGAGUGUAGAGGUGAAAUUCGUAGAUAUUCGGAAGAACACCAGUGGCGAAGGCGGCUAACUGGCCCAUUACUGACGCUGAGGCUCGAAAGCGUGGGGAGCAAACAGG
rnacentral:rRNA from 1 species